AUUGAACGCUGGCGGCAUGCCUUACACAUGCAAGUCGAACGGCAGCAUGGAGAGCUUGCUCUCUGAUGGCGAGUGGCGAACGGGUGAGUAAUGCAUCGGAACGUACCGUGUAAUGGGGGAUAACGUAGCGAAAGUUACGCUAAUACCGCAUACGACCUGAGGGUGAAUGCAGGGGAUCGCAAGACCUUGCGUUAUACGAGCGGCCGAUGUCAGAUUAGCUAGUUGGUGAGGUAAAGGCUCACCAAGGCGACGAUCUGUAGCGGGUCUGAGAGGAUGAUCCGCCACACUGGGACUGAAACACGGCCCAGACUCCUACGGGAGGCAGCAGUGGGGAAUUUUGGACAAUGGGGGCAACCCUGAUCCAGCCAUGCCGCGUGAGUGAAGAAGGCCUUCGGGUUGUAAAGCUCUUUCGGCCGGGAAGAAAUCGCACAGGCUAAUACUCUGUGUGGAUGACGGUACCGGCAUAAGAAGCACCGGCUAACUACGUGCCAGCCGCCGCGGUAA
rnacentral:rRNA from 1 species